UCUGUGCUUGUUUGCAGGGAGAAACAGGCACAUAUUCAUUGGACUCAAUGUUCUCCACCCAUUUUUUUUUUCCAGGUGAUCAGGCUGAAAGGGAACUUAAAAGAUCUCUUUAAGACAACAACAGAUGACUGGACGAGCCAACAACAACAACUUUUCCUCCAGCUCACAUGUUUGAAGACCACACGGUUUUCCUCAUUGCUUCUUUUCCAGUUCUCUUUGUAAAGUGUGUUUCGUCCUCCUCUUGCUCUUUUUCUUGGACCAUGGAAAGUUCUGUCCCUCCAUUACACUCAAGAGACAUCGACCUCAGCCUAAAGACCUGCCGGGAAAGUCAGUGCAACAGCCACGGGCACUGUGUGGCUCCUCCGGGGGGCGAUACUGGACUGAUUUGUGAAUGUGAUCUGGGCUACGAUGGGGAAUCCUGUGAAAAAACAUUCAAUGGGAAUUUGAGCGUACCUCUGACCACAGGCAUAAUUGCCGUUAUGGUCGGCCUGGUGAUCCUCGCUUUUAUCCUCACUAAGUUGCGGCAGAGACAAAAGAAAAACAAGAGGAAAAAACGUGCAGGAAAACAUGGCUACAACAUACCUGUUUAAUGUUUAUAUCAAAUAAUUCUAAGGUGAACAUCUUGGUUGUCUGAGUGUUACCCUUGCAAAAAGAAAGCGGAUCUGCGUUGUUACUUCAUGGUUAAUGGAUGACUGCAACUGGCUUUGCCCUGCACCAUCUUAAAGACACUGAAGCACCUUGAUGAGCCUGUUUGCUUGGUUCAGCUGACUGUCUUUACAUAGACUGUUCUUGGCAUGACAAACAGUACUAAUGAUGAUACUAAUGAGGUUGGAUUUUGUUUCCAUUCAUGGCACUGUCACGGUCUUUCUUUAUUGUCUUUAUGUUCCAGAUGAAAUUACUUUUUCAUGCAAAGACGUUCUGCACAAUAAUGCAAAUGUUCACCCGCUUUUAAUGAUGAAGCAGGAGCUUCGGGAGGACAGGCACUGCUGUCAUGACAACAAGCAUGUUGUGUUUAACUGUUGGCAAAGAUUUUUUUUAAGCUAACAAAAGAUUUUUAUUUAUUUAUACCAAAAAUAUAUACUUUACCCAUAAUUUAACAGUUUCUUUUUAUAGUUUUAUGUUACCAAUCUUUUUGCACAGUGUAGUUGAAUCAUUUAAUAACUCUAAAUGAGGAAAGGUUUGCUACAUGUUUUAUGUCCCAACACAAAAUACACUAUAACUUACUGUCGUUUUUUAUACUUGGAAAAAUAUGAGGAUUUAGCCAUUGCACGUCUGAUGCCAUAUCAUAAUUCUGUUUCAGUUUAAGCAUGAGCACAAGGCAACAGUGUUUGGUAGGAAAUCGGUUCACAUAAAUUAUCUACUUAUUAAAAGCCAUUGUUAAGCGUAAGAGGUUUUCUGUGUGCUAAUAUUUUUUUCUGAUAUUGACAUUUUUUGAUAUCUCCUAAUAAUCACAACCACUACCAAUGCAAAGACAGACUGUCUGUCCAUCUUUGUUUGUAUAGUUUUAUAAAUUGUUUUUGUAGUUUUUAAGCAUAGUUUGUAUUUUUUUUAGGUGGUGGUCUGUGGAACAUUUAUUUGCUGUCAGUAUCCAACCUGAAUGUUGAACUAUUAUUUUUUUAUUUUAUUUUACUUGGCAAUCCUUAAUUAUCUAUCAGAUAUUUGACCAUAAUGGUUUUACAGUCUUCAAUGUAAAUACCCAUCUGAUGCAAAAGUGAAAGCAAUUACAUUUUUCAUAAAAUGGGUUUCACUUAAACAGCUCUGAAAUGUUUGAGAUUAGAGUUGACUGAAGAUGGCACAGAUCCAGUUUGGAACCAGCUCCACUCUUACUAGCUGCUGGCUCGACUGCCUUCUUUUUUUUUUUUUUUUAAACGAAGGUCCUACAGAAACCUGUCUACUGUAGGUAAGAUGCUGACUUCUCACAACCGCCCCGCAGAACCCCUAUAUCAAAGAUCCAUGCUAACCCCUUUAAACUAGUUAAUCAUAUACACAUUGCUGAACCAUUAAAGAAAAUGGUUUGUGCAUGUGUAGUAGACAAUAGCUAUGUAGGUUAUGUUUGAAUAAUAGCUUCUUUGUGCAUAAAUGGACUAUAAAUGUGUAUAAAUGAUUUAAUAAUCUCCCAGUGAAUGUCUAAAAUACUGACUUGCUGCAGACUGCUGGAUUCUGGCAGAACUCCAAAACUUGUUUUCUGUUAUCACCAAACAAAGUUGUAGGUCAUCUGUGAUUUUUGUUUUGUCCUGUCAACCCCCCCCCCCCUAAAUCGCAUUUCCUGGAGCCUGGAGUUUUCAUGUUUUCUAAAUUACCAUCCUUGCUGCUGAACAUAUCAUGUCAGAAUAGAAACACCUUCAUUUCUUAAUAGGUAAUUCUUUUGUUUUUGACGAGUUUUUUGUCAAUUUUAUUGUGAUCUAUGUAUGAACUAUGCAAUGAACCUUUUUACAUGCACUGCUCAAGUUAAAUGGCUAAUCACAUUUUUAUUAAGUCCACAGUACAACAUUUACUUGUCAUUUUCGUAUUCUAAUAAAACAGAAGCACACCUGUUUUUCCUUA